GACGAACGCUGGCGGCGUGCUUAACACAUGCAAGUCGAACGGAAAGACCCUGCUUUUGUGGGGUGCUCGAGUGGCGAACGGGUGAGUAACACGUGAGUAACCUGCCCUUGACUUUGGGAUAACUUCAGGAAACUGGGGCUAAUACCGGAUAGGAGCUCCUGCUGCAUGGUGGGGGUUGGAAAGUUUCGGCGGUUGGGGAUGGACUCGCGGCUUAUCAGCUUGUUGGUGGGGUAGUGGCUUACCAAGGCUUUGACGGGUAGCCGGCCUGAGAGGGUGACCGGCCACAUUGGGACUGAGAUACGGCCCAGACUCCUACGGGAGGCAGCAGUGGGGAAUAUUGUACAAUGGGCGGAAGCCUGAUGCAGCAGCGCCGCGUGCGGGAUGACGGCCUUCGGGUUGUAAACCGCUUUCGCCUGUGACGAAGCGUGAGUGACGGUAAUGGGUAAAGAAGCACCGGCUAACUACGUG
rnacentral:rRNA from 1 species